CACUAAAAUAAAGACAGAAAAUGAUGUUAAACAGCUAGCAGUUUCACCUUCAGCAUCCAACAAAAGAAGUUGUUUUGAGAACAAAUGUGAAGGAGAAUACAAAAAAAGGACAGCUACACAAAACCAGUAAGCUUAACAACCUAAAACUAUGCCAUAACACCUCAAAAUGAAAAGAAAAUAAAACCCCAGAUUAUUUUGAAAU
rnacentral:misc_RNA from 1 species